rnacentral:misc_RNA from 1 species
CGCACAUUGCGCCCACUAGUAUUCUAAUGGGCAUGCCUGUUCGAGCGUCAUUUCAACCCUCAAGCCCUGGCUGCUUGGUGUUGGGCACCUGCGGGCCUCGCCCGCAGGCCCCGAAAGACAGUGGCGGGCGCGCCGCGACCCCGAGCGUAGUAGUUACAUCUCGCUUAGGGCGUCCGGCGCAGUCUCUUGCCGUAAAGCCUCUCUCCGGAGAACUUCACAAGGUUGACCUCGGAUCAGGUAGGAAUACCCGCUGAACUUAA